CCCAGUGCCCGGCAACUUGGCCGCGCAGAUCCGGGACGGGUCUCGCCCUAAUUUUUCUCCGGGAGCUGAAGUAAGGGGAGGCCAAGAUUCCAAACGCCCCCAAAUGCUUCCAAAGGAGAAAGCCACACCACACCGGCUUUCAGGAUCUUCGUUCUCCAACCAGCGAUGGAACCAGGGCCCCAGCAGUGAAAGCGCUGAGUCCUAACCACUGGACCACCAGGGAUAGGUGCUGCUCAAAAUACAUACACAGAACUUCCCUGGUGGUG